CCUACGGGGGGCAGCAGUAAGGAAUAUUGGUCAAUGGACGAAAGUCUGAACCAGCCAUCCCGCGUGCAGGAUGAAAGCCCUAUGGGUUGUAAACUGCUUUUAGCAGAGCAGAAAAGCUCUCAUUAAUGAGAGUCUGACGGUAUCUGCAGAAUAAGCACCGGCUAACUCCGUGCCAGCAGCCGCGGUAAUACGGAGGGUGCGGGAGUUAUCCGGAAUUACUGGGUUGUAGGGGGAGGAUGACGUCAGUGGAGAAAUCUUGUCGCUUAACGAUAAAAUUGCCAAUGAUACUGGUACUCUUGAAUUGGGUUGAGGUUAGCGGAAUGUGACAUGUAGCGGUGAAAUGCAUAGAUAUGUCAUGGAACACCAAUUGCGAAGGCAGCUAACUGGGCCUUGAUUGACGCUGAGGCACGAAAGCGUGGGUAGCGAACAGGAUUAGAUACCCCAGUAGUC
rnacentral:rRNA from 1 species